rnacentral:lncRNA from 1 species
CCGAAUGUUAAAGAGAAGGAGGAGGUUUGAAACAUUUCAAUUUUAACCCUUUGAUUGGUAAGUUAUUUCAAGCCCUUUUUUUGUAAAAUUUAUGUUUUUAAGAUCGUGGACGCUUUGAUUUAGUUAGCCCGUGUAUUAUUUUGUAAAACUUUUAAAGCUUUCAAAAGUUAUCAUUGUUUAUUUCUUGAAUUUUUUUUGUGUUAAAUUGUUAGAUUUUGAGCUUAAAUAUGAAAAUUGACAAGUUUGUGAAGUUUAAAUGUUAAUUUUGUAACAUAAGGACUAAAAUGAAUUAUUUCUAACGCUAUUAUAAGACUUUGAUAAAAAUAGAUAGUAGAGAGUUUAUAAAGGAUGAGAUUGAAAUCAGAUUAGAAAACAAAGCUCAAAUUUGAAAGAUAUGGCUAUUUCGGUUUUAAGGACUAAAUUGAAUCAAAUGUAAAAUUUUAAGGGACAUUUGAAAAAUAAAAUUAAACUGAUACAUACUUAUAAUAGGAUGAUAUGAGAUGUUUGGAAUUGAUAAUUUGAACUCAAUUAUUGUAUAGAUCAAGAAUUAAACCAAAUCGAGGCUAGUCAUGAAAAAAGCAAAAAUUGUCGAAUAGUCUUUAAAAGCUCGUUUGGUUACUGUUUCGCUUGGUAAGUUCAUAUGGAACUUAUUGAGUUAAUUCAUGUUAUUUUUUUAUUUCCAUAAAUUGAAUAAUUAUAUUUGUUACAUAUUUAUUUUGUUAUGCAAUAUAUGAUAUUGAGGGAAAUUGAAAAUAAUUAUUUGAGUUUAAAAUAUUAUGUUUGAGAUUGAUUAUCGAACAAGAGGACUAAUUUAAACAAUAAUGAAAAUUUGUGUAACUUAGUGAUUAUAUGUAUUGACAUUUAAUUUGGUUAGAAUGUAUUAUGUCAUAUAAUGAAAUAAGAACUUACUCAAAUCCUGGAAGAGCAAAUUGUUUAACUAAACAUUUUAUGGACAGCAGUGGUAUUACAACUUUGAAAAUUUACUAAAAAUUGAAGGAAUCAAGUUAGAGGUUGAACCAAAUAUGAAAUUAAAUCUUAUUGAGUCUAGUUUUACACAAAAGUAACGGUGAAAGCAAUGAAAUUGUAGGUUAUGAGAUAUAAUACUUUUUAUGAGACAAUGUCAGAAUGAUUUCGGGGUCAGUUGUUCUAACUUUGAAAAAUCACUAUAAAUUGUAAAAAAAAAUUUAGGUGAUGAAAUUCAUAUGCCUAAAAUAUUAAUGAGUUUAUUUUAAAGAAAACAAACCAAAACGUAAUCUGAUACUUAUACUGAAAGUUAUUUAAUUUUUAGUGAAGAAGAGUCGAAACUGCCUAGCUGCAGAACAAGGGAGGUUUUAAAAAAAAAACUGGUAUUAAUCUACCAAGAAAUAAAUUCUGAAAUUUUUAUGGUAAAAAUUUCAUUGAGUCUAGUUUCAAAAACAAAAAGUAGAUCUUAAUUUUAAAUUUUUUAGGUCUAGAUAUAAAUAAUUUAGUGACUACUACUCAAAAAGACAGUUUUGUUAAAAGUAUAUGUAUAAAUAGUUAAAGAUAAUUCAAGUUACAUAAAAGCGUGUCAUACUAAGGUUAAAGAUUCUUGUAUAAAUACUUGUAAAUAAAGGAAGUGGAAUGGAGAGGAGGAGAGGAAAAAAUAAUAAAAGAGUUGUAAAAUGAAUUAAUAGUUUAUUAUGAUUGAUCAAAUCAUAUUGGUGUAAAUUUAAUUGAUUAUAAAGAUAGAUGAUUAAAUUGAAUAAAAGUGAAAAUGUUUAAACUAAAUGAAAUGGUGAAAUUGGUUUGGAAUUGAAAUGGUAUGUUAUCUUAUGUAUGAAAUGAUAUCAUGAGUGAUAAAUUGAUCAUAUUGAGAUCGAUAGAAUGAGAAUUGAACUUAUAAGGGAAUUAGAUAAAUGAUUACCCUAUUAAUUGCUCGAUGGAGUUAUUUUGACUAUAUCUUAUUUUGACUAUAUCUCAAUUAGCGUGGGGCGCAUUUUACUUUGGACAUUCUGAUAAGUGUUGGGUGCAAACUAAUUACUUUAGACACUCCGAUGAGGCACUGGGUGCCAAAUGGUUACGUCGACUGUGUCGAUAAGUGUUGAGCACAAUAUUUACUUCGGUCAUACCGAUGAGUGCUGGGAGCAAUCUAUUUUCUUCGGAAAUUAUCCAAUGAGGCACCAGGUGUCAAACUAGGGUGUUGGUUGGAUUUGUGUAUCCGUUCGUGUCUGAGUCAAGUUAAUAAGGAUUUAAUAUGUAAAAAUUUAUAAUCAUAAUGAAAAAAAAUUGUUAAUGUGAAAGAAAUUUGUAAACUAGAAUAAUAAGUCUGAAAGAUUGGUAUGAAAUUGUGUUGAAUUCAACAAUUCAAUUUGGGAAAUGACAUGUUAGUAUGAUAUAUUUCUAACUAGUUAUUUGUUCAUAUUUAAAUGAUUCAUAAAACAGAUUUAUAAUGAGAUAUUGUGUGUUGAUGAUUAAUUGAAUUGUGAUUCUGAAAUUGAAUGUGAAUAUAUAUAUUGGAUUGAACUGUAAUGAAAUCAUUUUCAUACAAUAAGAAUAGUGUACAAGGUACGAGUAUACAAAUACAAUCAAAUUCAGGAUAUGAUAUGUGGAAAUAUGAAUGGUUUUAUCGGGCGUGAUAUUAUAAUUGGAAUUAAAAACUUAACAAUGUAAUGAAAUAGAUUGACAAUAAAUAUGAUAAUGAAAUGAGUUAUGUGAAAUUGGUAUGAGUUAGUGACUUGAUAAAAGAUAUCGAAAUGAAAUAGUAUAAUGUUAUGGAAUCAAUUGUGCAUAUAUAUGUGGAUCAUGAUAAAGGAAAUACAUGAACUUCUAUGUGAAUAAAUUGGAAACAAGCUUUGGGAGAGGCUGAAAUGAAUACGAAUGAGUCGACCGACUCCAGAAAGAGACUUAAAUGGAUUAUUAUUGUGGAAUGAACAUGGAAUUGAUUGUUAUAAUGUUAAUGAUAUAAAUGUUUGAUUCAUGAUUGGUAUUGAGUUCUAAAAAGGCUUUAUAAUAGGUGUUGGCAUGUAAAUGAAAUUGAUCACUUCUAUUGCAAUGCUAAAUGAAUUGGUUUGACAUUUGAUAUGAAUGACAUACUAGUUGGAUGUUACAACUUUCUUAACUUGUAAUUUUGUUAUUCGAAUCAUAAAAAUACUACCGAGUUCUAUUGUUCAACAUAUGGUUUGUUUUUUGUGCGCAGGUUAGGUAUGAUUCAUGAUAUUUGAACUACGACUUCAACAUCCAGUCAACAAUCCCGAACUCGUCAAAGUUUGUAUAUUUCAUUUUUAUUCUAAGUUGGCAUGUACAUAGUUGAGUCUAAUUUGGUUUGUUCUUAAGUGAAUGCUCCUAUUGAAUUUGGUAUCAUAUGAUGGAUGUUUGGUUCAUGUUCAACCUUAGAUUAGUUCUUGGAGCUUUUUUGAACGCGUAUAAAUCCCGUAAAUGGUUGAUUCUUGUGAUUAAUGCUUGUUUGAUUGACUUAAAUCUUAUAAUGGCUUAAAGUGGAAAUAAAUUGAUUGUAGUCGCUCUGGCAAUGAAUGUGACAUCCUGUUGCUCAGACUCAGUGAUUGAGUCAGGUGUAGGGUGUUACAUUACAUGCUAAUUUGACAUAUUUUUUUUCCAUUUUAUACAGUUUAGGGCAAUAAGAGAAAACUUAGUCUUGAAGCUUACCUGUUCAAUGUUCGAUGCAGUAGCAUUUCCUACAGCAAAGGCCAUGUAGACGUAGAUUGAUGGAUGAUCAGCAUGGGAUGUCCUAAAAUUAUUUAUUGGACUUCUAAUUUCAAUUUGACUCAGCU